rnacentral:rRNA from 1 species
UACGAAGGGGGCGAGCGUUGUUCGGAUUUACUGGGCGUAAAGGGCGCGCAGGCGGCUUAUUUUGUCAGGCGUGAAAGCCCCGGGCUUAACCUGGGAACUGCGUUUGAUACGGAUGGGCUAGAGUUCGGGAGAGGAGAGUGGAAUUCCCAGUGUAGAGGUGAAAUUCGUAGAUAUUGGGAAGAGCACCGGUGGCGAAGGCGGCUCUCUGGACCGAUACUGACGCUGAGGCGCGAAAGCGUGGGGAGCAAACAGG